rnacentral:rRNA from 1 species
AGCGAACGCUGGCGGCAGGCCUAACACAUGCAAGUCGAACGAACCUUUCGGGGUUAGUGGCGGACGGGUGAGUAACACGUGGGAACGUGCCUUUAGGUUCGGAAUAACUCAGGGAAACUUGUGCUAAUACCGAAUGUGCCCUUCGGGGGAAAGAUUUAUCGCCUUUAGAGCGGCCCGCGUCUGAUUAGCUAGUUGGUUGAGGUAAUGGCUCACCAAGGCGACGAUCAGUAGCUGGUCUGAGAGGAUGAUCAGCCACAUUGGGACUGAGACACGGCCCAAACUCCUACGGGGGGCAGCAGUGGGGAAUCUUGCGCAAUGGGCGAAAGCCUGACGCAGCCAUGCCGCGUGAAUGAUGAAGGUCUUAGGAUUGUAAAAUUCUUUCACCGGGGACGAUAAUGACGGUACCCGGAGAAGAAGCCCCGGCUAACUUCGU